rnacentral:rRNA from 1 species
UACGAAGGGGGCUAGCGUUGCUCGGAAUUACUGGGCGUAAAGGGCGCGUAGGCGGAUCGUUAAGUCAGAGGUGAAAGCCCAGGGCUCAACCCUGGAAUUGCCUUUGAUACUGGCGAUCUUGAGUACGGGAGAGGUGUGUGGAACUCCGAGUGUAGAGGUGAAAUUCGUAGAUAUUCGGAAGAACACCAGUGGCGAAGGCGACACACUGGCCCGUUACUGACGCUGAGGCGCGAAAGCGUGGGUAGCAAACAGG